rnacentral:rRNA from 1 species
UCUAAGUAUAACCUGCCAGACAGGGAAACUGCGUACGGCUCAUUACACCAGCCUUAAUUUACUUGACCUUGACAACCUACUUGGAUAACUGUGGUAAUUCUAGAGCUAAUACAUGCACCAAAGCUCCGAUCCUCGCGGAGAGGAGCGCAUUUGUUCGCCACAAAACCAAGCGCCCAUCUGGGCGUCCAGUGCUGAACCAGAACAACUCAGCUGAUCGCACGGUCUUGUACCGGCGACGUGUCUUUCAAGUGUCUGCCUUAUCAACUUUCGAUGGUAGUGUACCUGACUACCAUGGUUGUGACGGGUAACGGAGGAUAAGGGUUCGACUCCGGAGAAGGGGCCUGAGAAAUGGCCACUACGUCUAAGGAUGGCAGCAGGCGCGCAAAUUACCCACUCUCAACGCGAGGAGGUAGUGACGAGAAAUAACGAGACCGUUCUCAUACGAGGCCGGUUAUUGGAAUGGGUACAAUUUAAU